UUUGCAAGAGACAAUAUAGGCAGUUUAUUAAUAUUUUUUAUUUUUCUUCCUAUUUGCAUGCCUCCUGCCGCACGAGCUCGCCGACCUACGCGUCGAUCCGGUUUUAAGUGGCAAGCGGGAUAAGGGAUGAAUCUAGUACACCGCAUACCAUCCGACCGAUUUCCCGAAGCGGUAGCACACCUCACUAGUCGAGGGGGUUUCCCCUGCGGUAAGUAUUGAUACAUCAUAGCGAUCGGUUUGCAAGAGACAAUGUAGGCAGUUUAUUAAUUUUUUUUUUCUUCCUAUUUGCAUGCCUCCUGCCGCACGAGCUCGCCGACCUACGCGUCGAUCCGGUUUUAAGUGGCAAGCGGGAUAAGGGAUAGAUCUAGUACACCGCAUACCAUCCGACCGAUUUCCCGAAGCGGUAGCACACCUCACUAGUCGAGGGGGUUUCCCCUGCGGUAAGUAUUGAUACAUCAUAGCGAUCGGUUUGCAAGAGACAAUGUAGGCAGUUUAUUAAUAUUUUUUAUUUUUCUUCCUAUUUGCAUGCCUCUUGCCGCACGAGCUCACCGACCUACGCGUCGAUCCGGAUUUAAGUGGCAGUGGGAAAAGGAAUCUACAACGCCAACCAUCCGACAGUGUUCACGAUAAGAAAGGAAACGUCUCUUAUCGUGGGGUCUCCCCUGCGGUAAGUUAUUUCACAUCACCAGUACAAGUCGGUAACAAAAUUUGUAAACUUAAAUGUUUCUUUUUUUUUGCAUGUUCCCUACCGCAUGAGUUCGUGCUACAUGUUGGAAUCACACGCGAAAUGAUAGAGAAUCGUUUUUCAGUGCACAUGCCACAACACACUAUCGGUAUUCGUUUUCCUUCAUCUAACUGUAAGAAACAGUCACUGCGCAACAUCCUACGAUAGCCAAGCAUAUAGACGAAACAUUAAUGUUGUAUCAUGCUAACCCGUGACAGGCAAGUGCUCAGUAACUCACGCACGUCCUUCAACGCACACAUCAUGAAACAUCUGGUGAAUGAGAUUGCUGAGCAAAACACUCACCAAACGGAAUAGAAUGGAUGAGUUUAUUUUAUGCAUCAUGUACCCCCCCCUCCCCUCCCCCCCUCCCUUUUUGCCUUAUAAUGUGACCAGUGCCUUAUUUUUUUUUCUUUUGUUUUAUGUUAGCAUAGGAUUAGUAUUAGUAUUAGUUUGGUUUAAUUAGAUAUAAGAUUUUAUUGUGCUAAUAUACGCAUGGACUAUUGAAACAUAUAAUUAUGUGUUUGUUGAGCAACACCAUUUGGGUAAAAAAAUAAUAAUUUACGUAUACUCGUGAGGAAGCACGCACUUUGAGUAAUAAUUAACAUUUCUUCUUGGUCGCGAUCGUCCGAUGUUCUCCGCUGGUUCAGCGGAUCAAUGGUCAAUUCAAGUGGUGAGGUGAGCGUGUCACUAUGGUCCACGUAACUAUAUAUUAACAACAUCUUGGAGUAUUAUUAAGGGCCAUGGUUCCGUUAUAGUUAAAACCACGCAACAAGCAUAAGGAAACUGUAAUUGAAAUUUGAAUCAGUUAACAAAUUAUCUAAUGGAUCCGAUAAUGAAGCUGAUUUGGAAAUGUGUACACACUCAUGCACACAAUCGUGACACUAUCGAAAGUGUAUAUUGCACUAUAACGUUAUUUACAUGUUAAAAUGAUUCAUUAUACAAACACAUAUAUAAUUAUUGCAUCAAAUAUACUACUCAUUUUUUUAACUGAAAUUGUAUAAAUAUAUCGCAUUACUCACCAAUUGAUAGCCUAUUUGUUUUUCUUUCGUUUGGCAUUGGGGUGUAAUAGCCAUAUUUGGGAUAUGUAAUGUAAUCAUAUUUUUUAUUCUACUGGGUUUGGUCGGUUCGAUCGGUAACAAGAUAGGAACAUUAAAAUAGGUGCACAUAAUAAUAUGCACGCACCACUAACAAAUACUUUUACUAGACCCGUUCCAAACAGAGUCCAGUGUAUGUUUAGUACACCUUGUAUAUUGUUCAUUUGAAUCUGAAAAUUUGAAUAAGAAACAAAGAUAUUAGCAUUCUUUAUUCAUAUUCAUAUUCAUAUUCAAAUUUAUUUGUCUACCUUUUGGUUACACAAAUACUUAAAUAAUACUUAUUACCUAUGUUCCUAACCUAACAAAAAUUAACACAAAUUAUCUAAAAUUUGAGAAAAUUUUUUUU